GCUAAUAGAGUCAUAGACACGUGUACUAGGAAGUAGGAAGUAAAUACAGAGCACUCGGAGUGCUGCUGGAAAGAAGUCUGUCACUAUGCUAGAAGGCUACAGCCCUGUGACCCAGGCCCUGCUGGGGACUCUGUUCACAUGGGGUCUGACUGCUGCCGGAGCUGCUCUGGUGUUCAUCUUCUCCAGCCGACAGAAGCGCAUCUUGGAUGGAAGUUUAGGCUUUGCAGCUGGGGUAAUGCUGGCUGCUUCCUAUUGGUCACUGCUGGCCCCAGCCAUCGACAUGGCGGAGGAUUCUGGGAAGUACGGCUCAUUUGCUUUCGUGCCUGUGGCUGUAGGAUUUACACUGGGGGCCGCGUUUGUUUACUUCGCUGACCUUGCCAUGCCCUUCCUGGUAGGAACUCUGACACAUACAGUAUUCUAUGUUUCCUGGAGAGCACAAAAAAUACUCUUGUGGUGAUGUGAAUGUAGCAGGUGCCGAUCAGUUCUUAAUGUCUGCUUAUAUGUAUUCACGGUCACUUUUCAAAGACUUAUCACCACGCACGGGAGCAAGCUAUUGAUAAUUCAUGAGGGAAAGAAGAAGAAAUGGAGGACAUACUGUGGUGUGAAUGUGAAGAAUUGAGUUCCAUGCAGAAAUAAACAGAAAUACCCACUUAACCUAGAUAGGGCAUAUCUGAAUUUGAAACCUUGAGGACUAGGUCUGUGAGGUUAAUACAGAUGAAAUUUCUACAAGGGGCAUAGAGUAGCAUGGCAGUUUUCUUAUAAUUAAAGUAUUGAAAUUUAGUACAUGCAUACAGAUAUUCUAUGAUACAAUAGCAGAGAACAGAGCUUUCUACUCACGAAAAAGUUGAAUCUUGGCACAGAUUUGCCACCCAUCUUCCUUUGAGAGGUCUGCAGAAAUGCCUAAUGUUACCUGAGGCAACACAUACUUGUUAAAAGGACCAAGAUUGUGUUUUGUUCCACUUUGCCUGCACUGGUCUUUUGUGUUGUUUAGAUAAUAGCAUAAUUGCUGCUGAGAGCAACUGCUGGUUGAAGAAUAGAAAACAUGACAGAGAAAAUGAGUUUGGGCCAAAGCUAGUAGAAUGCAUCUCGGAGGAUUAAUCAAUAUAAAGUUCUUUGUUGCCUGCUUGGGAACUUUUGUAGAUGAUGGCUUUUGAAAUACUUCACUGUUUGCAUAUUGAUACGCUUUUUUUUGCCAAAGGCCAGCACACCUGUAAGCCUGAUAGACCCAAGAAAAGAGCUUGGGUAACGUAACCAUGAAAAACAAAUCAAAGCAAUGUCAUGGAACUGGUUCCAUUAAUGGAGACAUUACCCUCACAUUUAUUACAGUUUCUUUCAGACUAUGUUAUUUGCAUGCUUUUUUCCAUAGACAAUCAAAUUAUAAGCUUAUUUUUUCUCUUUUUUUUCCUACUUCUUUCAAUGGUAUAUAAAUGACUGACACCUCAGUCAAAACAAACUUUAAGCGAACUUUUAGGCUUAAUAAAACUCUAAAUGGGUAAAUAUAGAAAUGGGUAAUUUUAAAAUGGGAGCUUAAAUCAUUUUUGGAGCUAGCGUCAAGUUGUCAUUAAAGGAAUUGGAUUUUUUGGAGCUUUCAAUACUGGGAGUGCACUGAGCAUAGAUAGAGGAGGUAGAUAAAGAAGAGAUGCACACCAAUCAGCCACAACAUUAAACCACUGACCUGUGAAGUGAAUGAUAUUGAUCAUCUCGUUAAAAGCCAGUGUUCUGCUUGACAGCUUCGGGUUCUGGCAUUCAAGUGAUUAUCGCUUUGACAUGUACAGCCCACCUAAACAUUGGCAAGCACUAUCCCGCGUUGGAUCGACUCCCCCAGAUGGCAGUGGCCCCACCCGCGGCAGAUCCCAUCAUGCUUAAAACUGCUGGAGAACAACUCGAGAAACAUGGCAAAGGUGUUGACCCAGCCUAAUAACUGCCCAGAUUGCAGCUUGAAUGAGUGUCAGCAAGACAUUUGGAAACAGACUUGAUCCACUUGGCUAUUGUCUUUAUGCUUUAGUCUUCUUUUAGUCUUCGUCCCAAGAAGAAUAGAUUCACAGAAUAAGUUAGAUUCACACGAGUGCGACGUUUAGGACAGGAAAAGGUGUUCAAAUAACUUCAGUCCAACAGAUUUAUAAUGAUGGAAAGCUUAAUUCUGUAGCUGGUUUGUCAUUUAUUACUUUGUCAACUCAGCCUGUUUCUCAUCUUUCUUUAAAAGAAACAGAGAGAAUAUGAAUAUGUGUAAAACAUUGACAGAGAUCUGCAAACCUCUACAAAUUACAACAAAGCUGAUCUGUACAGCUGGACUUUUAUUAACGAUCCUUUAACCCUUUCCAAAAACGCCCAUGUCUUGUUAAUGCAGAUUUUUGCAAUCUCAAAUGAUACAAAAAACAGGUCUGAGCCUUCAGACAUGCGCCAGCACAGGAAUGUGGAGUGACAGUAGUGGAGUGGGGAGAUGUGGGAUGCGGCCACAACAGUCAGAGCAGCAGAGAACAGCUGUUGCCUUAAGCUCCUGCAGUCACACCAGGACAGAAGCAAUCACUUGAAUUACAUAUGAAGGAGUGCAUAACGUCGCUGUCAUGCACACUCAUAUAAGAUGACACGCACUCGCAUAAACACAGCGUACACGCAUAUCCCCGUGAGGAUGACGAACAGUGAAAGCGAGGGUGAUGAAAAGCAUGCGUUCAAAGAUUUGGUUGUGCGUCUUUGAUCAAAUCUACGAUGCACAUUUGAAAAUGUAGAAAACACACAAGGGUUGUAUUUUUAGGGUUUGAUAUUAAGACCAUCAGUUAAGUUCAGAUUUCAUAACCUUCAUUCAGUUAUCAGCAGAGUUGUGUCAUUGUGCAGGAUAAAGCUUGACUGUUGUUGCGUGGCGUAUUUGAACCUCAUAAUCCGAUAUUAAAACCUGGCAACUUGAUGUGAGGGAAAGGUAAUGAAGUUAGGGACCGUCUCAAUACUAAGAAAUCAGGGAAGAGUAAUAGGCUGUAUAUAAAUGAUAGACAUAGCCUCUGGGUUGGAAAAUGGAAGCCACUGUGGAAGCACCUUAAAAGGCUUCAAACCUUCAUUCUGUCAAACGGUGGAUUGUAUAAACGUCUACUGCAAAACAACCCAAAGCUCCCUUGAUCUAUGGCAUCAGUAUGUUUUCCUGAUGGGUUUUUGUCUUAAGAGAUAGCAUACCUUGUGAAUGAAAGGCCAAUACUAUUCUUCGCUUUCUAAGGGAGAUCCACCCUCCAGUUUAUGCUAAACCACUCAGGCUUCACGAGAGGAUUGUGGCCAAUUGGUGAUGUCAGCCAUCUUUCACAUACAGCCUGCAGAAUAAAUGAGGGACAUUAGAGAACAGUUUUUCUCAUUUUCUUGUUUGUGCAAAAAAAGAAAAAAUGCAAAUGGUCACGACAGGACAGUAGUAUAACAGGGUAGUAUAAAAAGGGUUUUUACUUUGAAAAUUGAGCAGUUAAAUGGCAGAUAUGACUGGACUUCCUGUUCUCCUCACCUGCUGUGUGCAGACUGACACAUUGUCCCAUUACUGCUACUGCAACUACUUUUAUUUUAGGAUCAUUUAACGGUGGUGAACGCUCCCAUCCUAAAUCAAAUGAGAUAAAUGUUUCUCCUCCUGGAGGAAAAAAAAUCAUUUCUAUACGACCAGGACAAAAAGCAAUCUACUGCUUGGGAGAAGAGAGAAAAAAGAAACGCCUAAUGUUAUAAUUUACUGCCUGUCUUUCACUCCAUCACUUCACCUCUUCGCAUUUCAGCAGGGGCUAAUUGGGCUGCUGACCUUCCUUUCCGUAAGCCACCCAUGCAGCAGUUUAAUACCUGUACUCCACUGGUAGUCUUAGUAAUAGGGCAGGAGAUAGCAAGUACAGCAAUGGGCAAACAAAAACAUUUCUCAGAGCUUCAGCAGGGACAUGUUUGUGAAAAGAGUUCAGAGCUGUAAAGACUUUUUAAUCUAUUGUAUUCUCAACACACCAUAACACACAGAGUACAUUUUAAACUGUAGAUAGCUAUCAACUAGACAACUCUUUUAUGCGCUUGGAAACAACAUGAAAUACAUCCUGGUGUUCUCCCAAGAACACUUUCAUAAUCUGGUCCUAUUUCCUGCUGUAAGACUUAUGAUACAUAUGUGUUCUGAGGUGGGCUCAUCAAACUCUUGACAACUUUACAAACCUGCUUGUGGAAAUGCAAAUCCCAGAGAUUUGUUAAAGCUUAAGCUUAAUUUAACACUUCCUAAUUACCAUGUAAGACGACCUGCUGUGCUCGAUUUGUGGGCGAGUUUUCCCUACAAACGUGGUCCCUAAUUUCACAUCAUUAAAUCCAGGAAAUUAGCAGGUGGAUACACAGCGUCCCUACCAGUGUUAGUAUGAGCGUCAAGGGACCCAAAAUAGAUAGAAAAUGGUUAGUCAUAGAACUAUAAAUACAAAAAAAAAACCCUUUUGCUAAAGCAAAGUGCUAGAUAAUUAGGUGGUGGGCAUUCAAAAAUCAGACACGGUGAGUGUUAUUUCACAUUUGACUGGAAUGGAAGACGGUGUUGAACAGCAGCUGUGAUGCUGCCUGUUCUUUUUUAACUUCAGGUUUUUUUGUCAAAUCUGGUCUAUCGGAAAACAGAUUAAAUAAAAAACCUGAGUGUUGAAACCUUCAGUAAGAUCUGGGGGAUCAUGAAUGCAGUGGUUGAGUGGUUGUUUUGGAUUAACUUGUCCUCUUAGAUGGUGGGGCACUGAUAACAAAUGGAAAGUUCUUCAGCGUGAUCACCGUUUGAUGAAACGUCUUGAUGCUGAUGGGACUUGUUUUCCAGAAUCCCAUUCACAGGGCAUGAAGGGUCAACGAGUGGUUUGAUGAGUAUGAAAAUGAUGUAACCCAUAUGCCCUGGCCUUUACACUCAUUAGAUUAGAUAGUGGACAGUUGACAGCAACUUUCCCUUUCAAUAAAUGAGGGAAUAUUUUUUGGAAGAAUGUUUUCAUUGAAUCCUUUUUUAAAACUAGAAUUUGAAACUAUUGAGAUUAAUAGUCUCUUUUGUGAGUGUCCUUCACCCAGAUGGGAAGCAGUAUGUAGUGUCAUAUUAGAUGUCAUUAACCCUCAUAAGACUGGCAACCUGCCUAGGAUGUACCCUGGCUUAUACCCUAUUGUAGCUGAGAAAGGCUCCAACCCUACGUAACCCUGAUAAGAAUAAGUGAAAGAGGAUGGAUGAUGGAGAAGAAACUGUAGCUGCCAGAGAAAAGAGCAUGCAGGUUCAAACCUAGAAUAGUACAAGUGAGCGUUCAUACUGCUUCUUUGCCUUGCUAAUUGUGUUUGAUAGUCUUAAGUGAUGAGGCAUUGAGUUGGCAGCAUGUGGUGGUCCAGUACCCUAAAACAUGUUUUUGAGUCUGUCAAACUGAAUAUUGUGAACAGUAUUGGUGUAAACUGCCCCACAUGCCUGGACUGUUAUGUCUUUAGCAAGUAAAGGUUUGGAGUUUCAGUCUGCAAGUGUUUAAAGCAAUGUUUUUUAGCAGUUUCUAGUAGUUAGCUCGACCAUCUGUCUUGCUGUUCCUGUUGUUCAAUCUUACUGUAAAAUGGACAGACUGCAGGAUCUUUGAAUGUCUUGGCAGUCAUUUGUCUUCUGUUGAUCUCAGCAUACAUAGAACCACAAGUGGACUUUUAUUACAUAUCCUUUUUGACUUUUGACAAAAUGUAGAAAUCAAUCAGAUUUUCAGUCAUUUAAAAGCGACACAAAGAGCCCCCAAGGAUCAAUGACUCAGCAUGACUCCUCUGAUAUGCUGUGUAGUCAAUGGCUUCAAAAGAUGACUAAGAGAGAGGCAAAGAUACUGCCUUGUAUCAAAUUUAUAUUUUAGUGUCAUUUAUACUAUGUGAUAGCCAAACGUUUCCUACAUCCAGUGUGUGAAAUGAUAUUUGUGACAGGUAAAUUACCGCCAGACUCUUAAGUGUUUUCCAGCUCACUGAUUUGCUUCUCUGUCUAGAUUUCAUAAGUGUUCUUUCCAGCCGCAGCAGACAAGUGAAGAGCUCCAUAAAAGCCAAUAUAUCCAAGAACCCAUAGUAAGUCCGUGUUGUAUGUAUCACCUGUUUGUGGUGCUCAGUAAGAGAGUAGGUCUGUUAAUGUAGGUUUGCAAUUCACACAAAAUAGUUUGUGAUUUAGAUAUGUCUGUGAAGGUUUCACCUCUCAUCCGAGAGAGGUGAAACGUCUUCAAGCAACUUAAAGAAGUCCAGAUGCUUUUCUUUGCAAGCUCCUUUGACUAC